rnacentral:tRNA from 1 species
CGAUGCCCGAGCGGUUAAUGGGGACGGACUGUAAAUUCGUUGACAAUAUGUCUACGCUGGUUCAAAUCCAGCUCGGCCCAACCCAAUA